rnacentral:rRNA from 1 species
UACGAAGGGGGGCUAGCGUUGCUCGGAAUGACUGGGCGUAAAGGGCGCGUAGGCGGCUUGCACAGUCAGGCGUGAAAUUCCUGGGCUCAACCUGGGGACUGCGCUUGAGACGUGUGGGCUUGAGUGGGGAAGAGGGUCGUGGAAUUCCCAGUGUAGAGGUGAAAUUCGUAGAUAUUGGGAAGAACACCGGUGGCGAAGGCGGC